AGUGAACGCUGGCGGUAGGCCUAACACAUGCAAGUCGAACGGCAGCACAGUAAGAGCUUGCUCUUACGGGUGGCGAGUGGCGGACGGGUGAGGAAUACAUCGGAAUCUACUUUUUCGUGGGGGAUAACGUGGGGAAACUUACGCUAAUACCGCAUACGACCUACGGGUGAAAGCAGGGGAUCUUCGGACCUUGCGCGAUUGAAUGAGCCGAUGUCGGAUUAGCUAGUUGGCGGGGUAAAGGCCCACCAAGGCGACGAUCCGUAGCUGGUCUGAGAGGAUGAUCAGCCACACUGGAACUGAGACACGGUCCAGACUCCUACGGGAGGCAGCAGUGGGGAAUAUUGGACAAUGGGCGCAAGCCUGAUCCAGCUAUACCGCGUGGGUGAAGAAGGCCUUCGGGUUGUAAAGCCCUUUUGUUGGGAAAGAAAAGCAGCAGGUUAAUACCCCGCUGUUCUGACGGUACCCAAAGAAUAAGCACCGGCUAACUUCGUG
rnacentral:rRNA from 1 species